UACGGGGGGGGCAAGCGUUGUUCGGAAUUACUGGGCGUAAAGGGCGCGUAGGCGGCCUGUUAAGUCGAACGUGAAAUCCCCGGGCUCAACCCGGGAACUGCGUCCGAUACUGGCAGGCUUGAAUCCGGGAGAGGGAUGCGGAAUUCCAGGUGUAGCGGUGAAAUGCGUAGAUAUCUGGAGGAACACCUGCGGCGAAGGCGGCUUCCUGGACUAAUACUGACGCUGAGGUGCGAAAGCGUGGGGAGCAAACAGG
rnacentral:rRNA from 1 species